UUAAUUCUGCUUAAUAUAUUUUUUAUUGAUAUUAUUUCUAUAAAAUUUUUGUCAUCUUUUAAUUAAAUCAUAUAUUAAUUUUGAUGCUUCCUUUGAAGCUUUCGGCACCUGUGUUCUACUUUCUUCCUCAGCUCUCUGCGCCGGUUUUCCUCGAUUCACUGUCCAACUUGAGGGUUACUCCACUAGCAGAACAGAUUAUCCGUGCAUAUAUGUCUUUACCGUCUUCAACUUCUGAAUUUCCUUUGCGAAUCGGCCUCACUGCAACAAAACCGGCAUUUGUUAGAUCCCAAAAUUCGAUAUGUUCUCCUAUAGGCUCCCUCUUUGGCAAUUCUCGGAGCGAUAAAUUGAAGCCGGAAUAUCGGAUGUUCAUUCUUGGCAUGGGUUUCGUCGGACAAUUCUUCGCACAGGGGCUCAAGAAAGAAGGCUGGUAAGAAAAAAAAAUAAUUUCUAUUUCUCAAAUGCUUUAUCAUUUGUUUUGUUUGUUUGUUUGUUUUUCUUCCUUGUUUCGUUCUUAUUGUACCAGUGACUUAGCAGACUAAGCUGUUUUUCCUUUCAUUAUGAGGUGGAUUUAGAGAGAUGAGGUGGCGAUUCCUUAUGUCCCUUGGUUUGCGAUUAGUUCUGUUGCUUGUAGCAAACGACUUAUUUUUAGGACUAUGGAGAGAACUCACAAUCUCUAAGCAUAUUGACGGCCUAUUAUCUUGAUUGCCAUGGCUUUAACUACUCUGUUCUGUUGCUUCUUCUUGGGGAGAGUUCGCUCCUGAGGAAACGCAAGAUAGCGAUAUAUACUGUUUAUGAAUGACGGUGAGUACUGCUAGGCUGACUCGUUUGUCCUUCCUGAUUAUUUUCGGAGUUGUUUUUCUUCCCUGCCAUGUUGAUCCUGGAUAAUUCAUCAACCAUUUAAUUUUGAUCAUGGCGGAAAUGCUGCUCGUCCACUUUCCCAAUCGCAUGCAUCUUCUUCGUUACUUCCUUUCUCUACCUUGUGAGCAAUGGGUUGUUGACUUCAGAACUUCCUGUCAAUUUGUCUACCAUCAAGCUAUAAUGCAACAAAAUACAUGUUCUUAAUACCCUUCCAUUCUUCUUGCACCAAUUUGGCCAGUCUUUUUUUAGUGAGAGGUUUGGCAUUCUUCCUAUUUGUGAGUCCUUGAAUCAGCAAGUGCUUGAUACUUGCAUUUGGAAGAAAUCAAAUGACAUUGGAUUGUACUUAUCCAAUCUGUCCCCAGUAUCACAUCUUACCUAUCACCCUGAAAGAGUCACAAGACUUUACCUUUUGCAGCUCCAAUUCGUUCCGAACUUGAAG
rnacentral:lncRNA from 1 species